CACACAGAGCCCUAAGCUGUUAUCAUAUAGAAGUGGUAUAAACAUAAUCAGGACUGGACAGGUCCUACGGGCACAAGGAAGUUACAGGAAGACUUUGCCCAACUGCCUCCCGUCUCUAGUCCUGUUACAAUCUCAUCUGCAGCCAAGCAUGCACCUGCAGCCUCAUGAGCUGUGCCUUAUCCUUGCAAGACUGAGGAAGAAGAGACGAGGGCCUGUCUUGCUGAUGGCUGUGCAUGCUAUGCAGGCCCCACCAGACGUGGACAACUGCAGCAUUACCACCCCUUGCCAGGAGAACCCUGAAGGACACUUCUGGUGGGAAUCUUCACAGUGGGAGGAAGUUCAGGCCAUGCACAUGGUAAUGCCUUUCAUCUGGAUGGAGAAAUGGUCACAUGUGAGAUUGUUCUCUAAUUCAUGGGCUGUGGCCAGUGGAUUGGCUGGAUGGACAGGGCCUUGGAAAGAGCAGGGUUGGAGUCAUCUGUGGAAGAAGCCGGGGGAUAGAUCUGUCCACAUGAAUAAAGGCUGUGAAGACA
rnacentral:lncRNA from 1 species